rnacentral:pre_miRNA from 1 species
AGGCAGUGUACAGUUAGCUGGCUGCUUGGUGUUUGGACAGCAGCCGCUACGUAUUCCGCCAC